GCCGUCCUAGCUCAGUUGGUAGAGCAAUUGAUUCGUAAUCAGUAGGUCGCCGGUUCGAUUCCGGCGGACGGCACCA
rnacentral:tRNA from 1 species